rnacentral:rRNA from 1 species
AUUGAACGCUGGCGGCAUGCCUUACACAUGCAAGUCGAACGGUAACAGGUCUUCGGAUGCUGACGAGUGGCGAACGGGUGAGUAAUACAUCGGAACGUGCCCGAUCGUGGGGGAUAACGCAGCGAAAGCUGUGCUAAUACCGCAUACGAUCUACGGAUGAAAGCGGGGGAUCGCAAGACCUCGCGCGGACGGAGCGGCCGAUGGCAGAUUAGGUAGUUGGUGGGAUAAAAGCUUACCAAGCCGACGAUCUGUAGCUGGUCUGAGAGGACGACCAGCCACACUGGGACUGAGACACGGCCCAGACUCCUACGGGAGGCAGCAGUGGGGAAUUUUGGACAAUGGGCGCAAGCCUGAUCCAGCCAUGCCGCGUGCAGGAUGAAGGCCUUCGGGUUGUAAACUGCUUUUGUACGGAACGAAAAGCUCUCUCUAAUACAGGGGUGAAUGACGGUACCGUAAGAAUAAGCACCGGCUAACUACGUGCCAGCACG